AUUGAACGCUGGCGGCAUGCCUUACACAUGCAAGUCGAACGGCAGCACGGGAGCAAUCCUGGUGGCGAGUGGCGAACGGGUGAGUAAUAUAUCGGAACGUGCCCAGUCGUGGGGAUAACGUAGCGAAAGCUACGCUAAUACCGCAUACGAUCUAUGGAUGAAAGCGGGGGAUCGCAGACCUCGCGCGAUUGGAGCGGCCGAUAUCAGAUUAGGUAGUUGGUGAGGUAAAGGCUCACCAAGCCGACGAUCUGUAGCUGGUCUGAGAGGACGACCAGCCACACUGGGACUGAGACACGGCCCAGACUCCUACGGGAGGCAGCAGUGGGGAAUUUUGGACAAUGGGCGCAAGCCUGAUCCAGCAAUGCCGCGUGCAGGAUGAAGGCCUGGUGUAACUGCUUUUGUAC
rnacentral:rRNA from 1 species